AUGCGGCUACAUCAUGUUGAAACACUGGUUCCCGUACGAUCACCGAAGUUAAGCAACGUCGAACCUGGUCAAUACUCAGAUGGGUUACUGCUUGGGAGUAGCAGGGGCU